GGGGGAUGAUACACAUGGAGGGGCUUGUGGGAGGGAUGAGACACAUGGAGGGACUGGGGGAAUGAGACAAAUUGAGAGGGGAGAUGGGAGAGAAACACAUGGAGAUCCAUUUGUCUCUCUCCCCCCAUCCCCUGCAGCCUCUUCAUGUGCGUCUCUUUCCCCACCCCUGCAUCCACUCCAUUUUCCCCCCCUCCUUUGCAGCCCCUCCAUUUGUCUCUCUCUCCCCUUCCCCCAGGCCCUCCAUGUGUUUCUCUCCCACC